CAGAAUUAAAAAACAGAAUUUUAAUUGUUUUCAAAACAAUUUCGAGCGGUCGGAAGUUUUUAUUUUGCUUUUUCUAGAUUUGUUGAUACUUUGUGAGUGAAUUUAACGUUAAAUAAAAAUUAUGAGAUUUAAAGAGCGUUCUUCUCAUCCGACAUUGGCGCAAAUAGAGGCAUUGAUAAACGUUUUGGGUUAAAAGCUAGCGAAACAAAAGGAUUAAUCGAAUCUCAACAUGUUCAGAGAACAAGGAUAUUAAAAAAAUAUAGGAACUAAAUUCUCUUGUCAGUUAAGAUCCAUUCCCGGUGAGAUAUUUAGGACAUGUUAACAUAUAUUUAUGUAUGAUAUAUCUAUCUACUACGUUUUUAUUGAUGUUCUAUUUUAACAGGGCAUGAAGGUAAUUUAUUUGUAUCUCAAAUUCACCAACAAAAAAAUUAUAUUGAAUUAAAUAAAUCAAAUCAUUCACAAUUUAGGUAUUGCAAGUUAGAUUGAUGUUGUUGGAAUGUAUUUAUUGAUGCAGAGGUGACUGUAUCUAUGGUAAAAGGUGUGCAUACUGGUACAGGGGUGGCAGGCAGUGCCAGAGUAUUGACUAAACUGACAUUAUGUUGGCUAAAGGCUGCAUACUCAGUUUAAAAUAAAGAACAAAAUUUAGGCAUAACCUAUUUUAUUAUAUUUAAGGAACUACAACAGAUUGGAAAUACUAAUCCACAUCAUCAGAAUAUUGUAAGGAGAAUUUUUAGCCAACUCGGAAAAUGUAUCAGUAUUGGAACAAUCGCAAACAUACAGGUAUGUAUGUUAUGCCUAAUUAUCUGAAAUAAAUACCUAAACAAAACUUGCAUUUUAAAAAUUAAUAUUUAUUGCCUUUUUAGCAUUGCAUCAAGAAUCACCUAUUUUGCAGUCAUCAUCCUCUAACUAAAUGCAAGUAACUUCUACUUAUUGUGAUGCUACUACUAGUAGCUCCAGCCACAGUAGGUCUCACAUGUUAGUCAAGAGAUUGGGUUGAUAUGUGUUUAUUCAGGUCAAAGUACCUAUUCAUUGAACCACCAUAUUAGGGACAUUGAUUUGUGUAUAAUGCUGUUACUUGUAAAUAAAAACAUUUUGUUGCAUGUAUUGUAAACAUUGUAUUUUACCUAACCUUGUUUUUAAAUAAAUUUAUUAUUUUUUUCAGCACCUCAACACCUGACCUGCUAUUUCACCACUUUUACAAUGAAAAGCAGAGUGUACUCAAAUUACUGAGAGAAUUUUGUGGAUAAGGAACUGCAGGUGAAGAUUCAGGGUGUUCAUAUGUGUGUCGUCCAAAGCAUUUUUGAACACAGACAAUCUGCAAGAAGGAUGAACUGUUGGUGGAAUUAGCACAUGCAGCGCUAGCAAUUUUAAACCUGUAUUUCCACAUAAGUUACUGAUGCAAACAAAUUUCAAAAUUAUUGUAUAUAACUAUUGACUAAAACUAUAAUAAAACUAUUUUUAUAAAUCA